ACUCUGUGAUGCUGGCACUGUUGAAGGGAGUAGCAAUUGUAAGGCCUGUUUUACCUUCAUGCUGCACUAAACCCAUGGCAUGUAAGAAAUGGACCUUCCCAGUGGUACCUUUUGUUUCCAAAUCAUUGCCACGCGAGUGGACUUUUGGAAUGCCGGGAGCUCUGGCUAAGGCACAGGGUCCCGUGCAUGAGUGGCAGCAGUCACAUGUCAGGGUUGCUGUGAUGUCUCAGCUGUCUGAAGAUGAGCUUGUGCUUCAGCUGUCACUGAACUGCACCAAGGGACAGCACUCUUCGUAAAGUGGUCUUUAAAACACACAGCUCUCCUGUUCAGCCAUAAAACCCGGGAACAUGAAGUGAUGUGUGAGCUAUUUUAAAUGUUGAUUUUCAAAUCCUUCCUGUUUUAAACAUUGAAAGUUGAUAACAAUGCUGAUGAAAUACACCCAAUGUUAUUUUUA